rnacentral:lncRNA from 1 species
GGAAUAACAAGAUACCAAAAAUAGAAACCCUUUUUGCUUUGUCUGCAUUGUGUGUUCCUCUGUAGAUACCUAGAGAUGCUGCUUGAGUACCUUCAGGAUUACACAGAUAGAGUGAAGCCUCUCCAAGAUCAGAAUGAACUUUUUGGGAAGAUUCAGGCUGAGUUUGAGAAGAAAUGGGAGAAUGGGACCUUUCCUGGAUGGCCGAAAGAGACAAGCAGUGCCCUGACCCAUGCUGGAGCCCAUCUUGACCUCUCUGCAUUCUCCUCCUGGGAG